rnacentral:rRNA from 1 species
GAUGAACGCUGGCGGCGUGCCUAAUACAUGCAAGUCGAGCGAACAGAUGAGGAGCUUGCUCCUCUGACGUUAGCGGCGGACGGGUGAGUAACACGUGGAUAACCUACCUAUAAGACUGGGAUAACUACGGGAAACCGGAGCUAAUACCGGAUAAUAUAUUGAACCGCAUGGUUCAAUAGUGAAAGACGGUUUUGCUGUCACUUAUAGAUGGAUCCGCGCCGCAUUAGCUAGUUGGUCAGGUAACGGCUUACCAAGGCAACGAUGCGUAGCCGACCUGAGAGGGUGAUCGGCCACACUGGAACUUAGACACGGACCAGACUCCUACGGGAGGCAGCAGUAGGCAAUCUUCCGCAAUGGUCGAAAGCCUGACGGAGCAACGCCGCGUGAGUGAUGAAGGUCUUCGGAUCGUAAUGCUCUGUUAUUAGGGAAGAACAAAUGUGUAAGUAACUAUGCACGUCUUGACGGUACCUAAUCAGAAAGCCACGGCUAACUACGUG